UUUCUCAGGCGAACGUAGUGACGUCUGCUGUUAUGAAUUCAGAAAUUAAUGCGCACAGCAGGUUUAGAUUGUUGUUCACUUGGAUUUUGAUGCAUACGUAUUAAUUUGAUUUCUGGCUUAAGACUAUGAGUGAUCAUCAGGAUCAGGCUGAAGAUGUCGGCCUCUUAACACCUCAUGAUCAGUCAGAGCCCUCAAAGGAUGAUGACAUGCAUUUCAGAUGCAUUUUGGCUGUUAAUCAGCCUGCCUAUGCAGAACCUCAGCCAAGGGCAUACAGACACCCUGCCAGUCUGGUAACUCUCCACCUCCGCAGGCAGGGCAAGAUGAGCCCACAACCGUGACAUGCUGCAGUCACCCUACGCCAGAGCCCAGCAUAAUAAGAGUGUGUGACUCAUGUCUGGAUAGCACAAAACAGUAUAUCUUUCUAUUUAUAUUUUGCUGUCUAUUUUUUUUUUUUUGCUUGAAUAAGAAAGAGAAACUUUUUAAUUUAUUUAAGGUACUUUAAUGCUGCUGAAUGAAUGUUUAUUAAUGAGACACAGACUGUCUGUAUAUGCAAUGAUACCAGAUACCAAAGCCAAGCCUAAUUAAAAAAAUAAAAUUCUGAAAAUGUACUUUACAUCAUUACAUUUGACUGGUACACUUGUUCACCAGUGGAUCCUCUGCAGUGAAUGGGUGCCGUCAGAAUGACUGAUCAAACAGCUGAUAAAAACAUCACAAUAAUCCACAAGUAAUCAACACUACUCCAGUCCAUCAAUUAUCUUGUGAUGCGAAAAGUUGCAGGUUUGUAAUCUAGUCAUCACUUACAAAUGAAAACAGUUCUAAACAAAUAUGUUGAUGAAUUUUGAUGUGAGAGGACAACAGGUGAUGGACUUUUUUUACUGGAGGAAACGUUAUUAUGUAUUAUGGAUGGCGAAAAUGACGCUUUAAAGUUAAAACUCCUUAAUGAUGGAUUUGAUUAUUGCAAACCUGCAGCUUUUCACUUUACAAGAAGAUAAUUGAAAGACUGGAGUUGUGUGGAUUAAUAGUGGAUUAUUGUGAUGCUUUUAUCAGCUGCAAGAACUCUCAUUCUGAUGGCACCCAUUCACUGCAGAGGAUCCAUUGCUCUAAAAGAUUCCCAUUCCACAUUUCGGACCCAUUCCACUCCAAAUCUGUUCUGAUAAAGAAACAAACUCAUCUACAUCUUGGAUGGAAUGAGUAUUUCCUUUUUUGGCAAACUGUUCCUUUAAAAUGACAUUUUUUUUGUGUGUGAGAUUUCUUUCCCUUAGUACUACUAGAGCUACAAAAUGUGCUGGGAUACUGAAUAUUUUUCUGUAUGAAAAAUAUGGCCCUGAAUAUGGUUAGUUAGAAAGGACACUAAUGUCCAUGAUGGUGAUCAUAUACACUAUAAUAUAAUACAAAACAAUUUAAUUCUAAAAAGAAGUAAUAACAAAACAAUAACCCCCAUGAAUUUAUUUACAAUAAAUAUUUCAUAAGCCUCCUUUCCUUGCAGGCUAACCUAAUUAAAUAAUUCAGGUGCAAGAGCCAAUUGCCACUAACCCCAGAAUGCCAUUCUAAACAUAAUCACAACUCGCUCACCACACAGGAAGCUCUGAAAAACACUUCUCACAUAUAUGUGAAGCCAUGGGCGUUGCUAGGCCAUUUUUAGAGGGGCUAAAGUCCCAUAAAUGACUACUCAGCCCCCCUAAAAUUUUGCGAUCAGCUCGAUAAACUGUAGUACACGAAUUUGUGAUCGCCUCAGUCCCACUGAUCUAUAUAUGACUGGAUCGCUCAUCGCGUUCUAAACUGCCAGCAGGCAGUGAAGCCACCGGAAGUGUUCGAUCCGCCAUCUUACUAAUCCCUACCGGCAGAGAGCACCAUUGAGUCACAUUCAAACCGCUGUCCUAAAAUCACCCGAUUUGAAGCAAAUCAGUCAAACGGGAAUAGUUUUUAUGUUAUGUGUAUGUAAAUUAAUGUUUACUUCAGAUGUUAUCUGCUGCUCACACAGGUAAUGAUCCAACACAAAAUAUAGCUUAUUUCUUUAUGAACAUAAUUAUUCAGCAAUUAUUAAACAUGAAUGUAUUAGCAUCAGAAAUGGAUUUGAAUAUAUAUCAAGGAAUAAUACAAUUAUGUUGUUAAUGUUGGAAUAUAUAUCAAGGAAUAAUACAAUUAUGUUGUUAAUGUUGCUCUAUAAUGAAAUGAAAAGCUUAACUUACUAUCUUGGAAAUAAAGCUUUAUGUCUUUAAAUCCGUACUGUAUAUAGUCAGUUAUUUCUCUGAAUAAAUUCAGAUUUCGGAAUGAGCACUUUGUCGUUUGUUAUAUAUGCUGAGGUCGUGUCCGUCUGAUGUUUAUCAUGUUCAUGAUGUUCACUACUGUAAUUGCUUCACUUUAAUGACGUCAUGAGCAAUCCAGUUCUAUAUUAUAGAUCAGUGCUCAGUCCCCUUUAAAUUUCAUAUGAAAACGGCGGCAGACUUACUUAGAUAGCCUCCUCCCCGUCUUUCAGCGCAUUCUUUUUCAAUCUGCAGACCAUGGCGGCGCAGAGCGAGAAACAGAGGACAAGGUGUGUGUUUAACGAUAGAUUGUUAUAAUAUCUGCAUCUGUGCAGUUUGCAGUUCUAUUCUUUUUCAUACAUACAGUUUACAAAAUAUCAAUCAGCUCCCCAUCUCCUGUAGCCUAAGUUUUCGCUGCGUUCACCCCUCAUAACACCACAGCUGUUUUCUCCAGUGAAAAUGAAGCACAUAUUAAUGUAUAUCCUGCUUUAUAAAACAAUCAUGUUGCCAUUUUAAUUUGAAAAUUUUACAUUUAAUGUAAUACAUUUUCCAGUGAAUGUGGCAUAGAGGUUUGCAUACUUGAGCUAAGGAAUGAGGGAUGUACACUAAAAAUGCUGGGUUGUUUCAACCCAACUUUGGGUCAAAUAUGCACUAACCCAACUGUUGGGUUAAAUUUUGGUUUUCAAAUAAAAAAUUUUACCCAACAGUUGGGUUAGUCCAUAUUUGACCCAAAAUUGGGCUUAAACAAAACAGGAUUUUAUAGGCUACUAGAAAUGCAAACAGUAAAAUUGUGUGUGUGUGUGUGUGUGUGUGUGAGUGAGAGAGUGUGUGUGUGAGUGUGUGUGUGUGUGUGUGUGUGUGUGUGUGUGUGUGUGUGUGUGUUGUGUGUGUGUGUGAGUGAGUGAGUGAGAGAUCAUGAAGACUUGUAUUUGGCUUAUUCAGUUAUGUUAUCUAUGCAAAACAGUGGAAUACUGCACUUUUUGGUAUAUAAGUUUAACAUACCACUCCUAUUCGUCAAAAAUUUUUUUAUUAUAUAUAUAUAGGGCUAUAUACUGUAUAUAUAUCUAAUACACCUUAACCCCCCCCCAAAUAAAAAAAAAAAACAAUCUUUUUGUAGGGAAAAAAACGACAGAUGAUAUUUUAAUUGCAUGAUGGUAUUUGUUGAACAAGCUGAAAAAAAAUAUCUCUAAUAAUAGUAAUAUGUAUUACAUGUGGCUAGUCUUAUAUUGUAAUGCUUAAUGUUCAAAUAACCCAAUAAAUUCAUUAAACGUCUUACCUUUGUGGAUUUUAGAUGAGUUGGAAGUUAUCCAAACUUUACAGUGAAUUUUAAGUAUCAAAUAUGGCUUAUGUUUAGUCUUUAAAACAAUCUUAAGAAAAAAGAUAAAAACAUUCUUAAGAAAUGUAUGAGUACAAACAAUAUUCUUAAAUUAGAAUAGAAUAUAUUUUAUUCAUAAGAAUAAACGAGCCCGUUUACUUCAUGCUUUUGAAUGGAAAAGCAGCAGCAUGAACAUUCUGUUAAUUAUCUCCUUUUGUGUUUUAUGUAAUAAAGUGGACAUCAUGAAAGUGAGUAUAUU
rnacentral:lncRNA from 1 species